rnacentral:SRP_RNA from 1 species
AGUAAGUCCUGUACGACGAGGACACACCGAACUCCGCCAGGUCCGGAAGGAAGCAACGGCAGGUAGAAGAAUCGGGUGAUACGGGGUCGCUUACUUCA